UGGGGGAUAUUGCACAAUGGGCGAAAGCCUGAUGCAGCGACGCCGCGUGGGGGAUGAAGGCUUUCGGGUUGUAAACCUCUUUCGCUAUCGAACAAGGCCCGCUUAGGGUGGGUUGAGGGUAGGUGGAGAAGAAGCGCCGGCUAACUACGUGCCGGCAGCCGCGGUAAUACGUAGGGCGCGAGCGUUGUCCGGAAUUAUUGGGCGUAAAGGGCUUGUAGGCGGCUUGUUGCGCCUGCUGUGAAAACGCGGGGCUUAACUUCGCGCGUGCAGUGGGUACGGGCAGGCUUGAGUGUGGUAGGGGUGACUGGAAUUCCAGGUGUAGCGGUGGAAUGCGCAGAUAUCUGGAGGAACACCGAUGGCGAAGGCAGGUCACUGGGUCAUUACUGACGCUGAGGAGCGAAAGCAUGGGUAGCGAACAGG
rnacentral:rRNA from 1 species